UUUUGCCGUGUCUCAGCCUCCACUCUGGAUCAUUGCCCUGUAAGCCUCAGAAAUGGCCAAGGAUGAGGACACCGAGCGACUUGUGGUUUGAAAGACUCCUACACUUUGUGGUUUCCCUGAUGGCUGUGCUGUGGUGUGCCCUCUCUUCCCACAAUUAACAAGCAGUAAACACAUUUUUUGAAGAAAAAAAGAAAUACAAGGGCUUCUUUGGCGGUAGUGGGGGGAGGGGAGAGGAAAGCUGUGCGACUCAGUGAGAACCAAGGCAAAGUCCCGUCAGUCCUGCUCCCGUCCUCUCCACACGCAGUCCCCCGAGGAAAGGAUGCCUCCCCGCCAACAGCAAGCAGGAGUGUCUGCCGUGGCAGUAAAGAGCGACACGCUGUUUGGGCAUCGGCCCAACUAUUUCAAAGCGUGCUCACUCUCUCAACACCGGUCCUUGGAGCAUGACAGACGCGUGAGCUCUGUUCUGAACGCUGAGUGCAGCCGGACUCCAGGCACCGUUUGCAGCAGUCCAUUCACGUCAGGGCCCCCCGGAACCUCGCCCUUCCCCAGACUGCCCUGUGCAAAACGUGAACCCCUGGGAGCUCCUCGGAGCCCUACGUGCUCCGGUUUCGGUUUGCUGAGCAUAGGGGCCAGAAAACAGGAAGAGCAAAUGUCUCUGACCGAGAACUCCCUGGGGACUUUGGAAGGAAGCUGGUGAUGUGGAGAAGCCCAGGCAUAGGCAGGGCACAGGGCCAGGAGCUGAGGCAGACUGGCCGGGUCCCAGGAGGAAGCGAGGCCUGCAGAGAGGUGAGGAAGCAACUCCAGGGCAGCAGCUCCAGAUGGAGGAUCUGCCACAGAAGCAGAGCCACGCUCAGAAGCUUGGUCACUCUGUCGUGGCUGGUUAUCCACAGCCCACACGAACCGCAGGAAGACGGGACAUGCAACUGGAAGUAGGGCUCACCUGUGAGCAGGAAAGCCUGCCUUCAACAGGCAUCACCUCUGCCGCCGACUCGACCUGCAAUUCGGAGCCUCGGGAACUGUGAGAAACGAAUUUCCAUUGUUGGUAAGCCAGCCCGCAUAAGGUGAGUUGAUGUAACAGCCUAAAUGGACUCAGCCAUUGUUUCUACCACACGUGGCUACUCUCAUUUUUGUAGAACCUGAGACCCCCUCACAGUCUUUUAAAAUCCCUCACCCUAGCCACCUCACCACACUUCCCAAAGUCAGAGCAAGGCAGAUCAAUGACGAGAGCUCGGUGAAUAGUGGGUUGCGUUCGUUUUCAGUACCCUCCCCCUUUAUUUAAACACUUACAGGUUGGACUAUAAAGUCUCAAAUCCCCGUGGUGAUAGCACAUAACAAGUGGUGCUGAAAGUUCAGAAGUAAUAAUAGUCUGGAUUAGCUGUACGUUUGCAAGCCAUCUAAAUGAGCCUGGGUCUGUGGUCAGGGCUUCUAUUUCUGCUUCCUUCAGUGGGUGCACCAAAGGUCAGACCCGUUCUUGUCUUAAUCCUUUAAAUCAACGUGCACCUGUCCACAGUGAAAGGAACACAUAAGUGUACGGACCUUUCAGAUUCAAAUAUGGUGGAGGGGAAGGUCCUGAGUGCCCUGGGGCUCUCACCCUUCCGGAGCUCAUCUAUCCCUGUCCUCACCUACUGAGAAGACAGCGGAGAACCAGGAUGUGCGGUUGUGUUUGUCUCCAAGAUGCUCAUGCGCACAAGGUUUUAGUUAACCGCAUCUGUAGGCUGAGUUCUUAUUUUGAGGUAUGGUUUCAUAACAACACCUGGCCAGUGUUCUGGACCAGACAAGACUGGAGCGAUGCACAGGCAUCCCCCAGACUCACAUUUUUUCCAGUACAGUCCUACCCAUGUGGACGUAUGCAAGACGUAUAUCGUUAUUUGAACACGGCCACUUCAUCCUAGGCAAACUUAGCAAACUGCUACUAAGUAAUUUCACAUAUUCCAAAAUUCAAUAAACAUCAUUAAUGGGGUCACUCUGAUUCUAGCCUUUGCUGCUUCCACUGAGAUCCCGGCUAGUGCUGCAUGUCUGUCUGCGUGAGUGGCUAGCACAGAACCACCGUCUGAUUUUGAGUUUGGGAGUUUUCAUUCAUUUGUCUAUACUUUCUCUUCAUCAUCAAGCAGGAGAGGUACCCCCAUGGAAAGUAUUUUGUAGGCUUUUUCAUUACUGCUACUGAUGUGCCUGCUCCCGACUGGGACUUUCACAUUGAUCUCUCCUUGAUGACCUGCCCAAGCUGCCUUAUAUAGGAAUGACCAAGGAUGUCUACUUAUUCAGUAGACGAUGGAACCGCUGAGCCAAAGCCAGCCCAAGGACGUUUACUUAUUAACGCAACCCUGGUGUCAUCCGAGACCCCAUCCUGUCCAUUUGUGUGCUAGGUUCGUGACCUCAUUGGUGCAUCCUUCUGUCUCUUAGGUCACACUUGUCAUGCACAGGUGAAUCCUUUUAAGUAAAAGAUCUGAAUUUGGCAUCAGACUCUGCUCUGCACUCUCAGUCAUGGCAGACUCUAUUGUCCUAAGCCCAGUGCAAAGGUUCAUUUUAUAUAUUGGGGUGGGUGUUGUGAUGCAGUGGGUUGAGCCACUGCUUAUGACCCUGCCAUCCCAUAUCAGAGAGAGCACCAGUUCAAGUCUCAGUUUCUCCCCUUCUAAUCCAGCUCCUUCUUAAUACACCUGGGAGAGAAGCAGGAGAUGUCCAAAGUACUUAGGUCCCUGCUACCCAUGGAGCAGACCAGGAUGGAGUUCUAGAUUCCUGGGUUCAGUCUGGCCCAGACCUGGCUGUUUCAGCAAUUCAGGGAAUGAAUUGGUGGAAGGAAGAUCUGGGUCUCUCUCCAUCUCUCUGUGUCAUUCUGCCUUUCAAAUAAAUAAGUAAAUGAAUAAAUAUAUCUAAAAAUAUUUCAUUUUAUGUGUCAGCUUGACUGUGCUAAGAGAUGCCCAGGGAGCUGCUAAAGCGUUGUUUCUGAAUUUGAGUUUUCCUGGGUGAGUGCACUUGAAUCACUAGACUGAGUGGAGAAGAUCCUCCCCCACCAGUGUGAGUAGGCAUCACCCAACCCAUUGAGGACUGAUGAGACCAACAGGGCAGGGGAAGAGUGAGUGUGCUCUCCCUCUGGAAGCCAGGGAUCAUCUACUCCUGCCCUCAGAAGUCAGAACCCCCGGGUCCCUGGCCUCCAGAACUGAGUUUAACAGCAGCAGCUCCUCCCAGAUCUGUAGGCUUUUGGAUUCUGAGUGACACCAGGGCUUUCCUGGUUCUCCAGGGUGGAGAUGACAUAUUGUGGGGCUUCUUGGUUUGCACGAUUGCAUGAGCCAAUUCCCGUGAUGAGACUCCUCCUCAGUCUGUAAAUCUUAGCCUCUUACUUCUUUUUCUCUGGAUAACCCUAACUCACCCGAUGUCCCAGCUAAGGAAAACUGGCUUCUCUACCAAAAAUGGAGUCUGCAAUCACCAGGCAGUUGAGAUGCAAAUAUAUGUAAUAUAAAACGAAAAAUGAUGCCUGUGUGUUAGAAUUAAAUGUUCGUAUAUGGAGGGGCUUUGCUCAUUCAUUUACUCAAACAGCAUGCAUUUGAUGAGAACUUGCGGGGAAGCCACUGAUGCCCCUCCCACAUCCCUGCAGAUCGCCUUGGUCCCUUGUGGCCCGGCCGCAGCUUCUGUAGGCUUUGCUGCUAUCCACUCACAGCCGUGCCCACGUUCAAAGAUUUGGCUGUGGCAAACGAGACUUCCUCGCCCAUGUAGAGAGCUGAGCUCCUGAAGCCCUCUCUGGCCUCUGCUGCUUUCGACUGAGUGGUGUUGUAGGGCCUGCUCUGCGCUCCCUCGGCAGUCCUGCAUCGUGUGCGCUCGGUGUGGACAUGAUGUGAACUUGGGGUUUACAUUGUGCCCCAAGGAAAGCCAUCCAGAUGGGCGCCUCCCAUGUGCCAGGCACUGUGAUUGUGAAUGAGUGGAGCAGACCACUGUGAACAGACUAAUAACCAACCUAAAGCCUGGAUUUUAGAUUGUCGUUAGGCAUAGUAGCUCUCUAUUUAACUGUGUGGCAUGCCAGGGUCCUGGAAGGGUAGAGAUGGCUUGCUGAGAUGAGGCGCUGAGAAAACAGAUUUGUAAAGGGAUUGUGAAUGCAGAUGUGUAUGCAAGGAAGUAGGGAAAGCGUGAAGAGUAGUGCAAUAUCCCAGAGCUUCUAAAAGUAGCCUAAAAGACUCAUGGAGGUACGUUGAAAUUUUAAGGAAUUUAUGUGGGCAACCAACAAUUCACAAAUUGAAAAGCACCAGGCCUCAAACAGUUAAGCACCCCGCUGGGAGACUAGCAUAAGAAACUUGGGGAAGAUGUUUGAGUAGCAAGAUCGAGUAUUUUUGGUGGGUUGCAGUGUAAAGUCCCUACGUGGAGGUUAGUUGAAAGAUCCUGAUUGGGUACAUGUAAGUUUAGACUUACUGCUUGCAUUGAGUUGGGUUUGGGUUUGCUCACAUGGAAACCCAAGGCGCUGCAGCCAUUUCAGCCUACAGACACCCGCCCCAGUGAAUGAUGUUAAUAAAUGGGGAACUCCUCCAGAGAGACGAGUCGCUUGGCUGAAGUUGUGGCCCCUCUCAAAGGACAGAAUCAGACUAAGGGGACCACAGGGAAUCCAGGGAGAAGGGCAAAUGUGUGCCUGGAUGGUUAAUGAGCUUGUCAGCACAUACAGUAUGGCAUUGUCAGAAUUGCUUGAAACUACUUUUAUGGGCCAUCUACUGACAGCUCAUGGAACACGGAGCUUGAGAAACACUGUAGUGCCAUAAACACCACGGCACUAUUUGAGGAUUAUCCCCUUAAGAAACACAAUGUCUCUAUCUACAGAACGUUCCUGCUUCAUAUAUCCCCCUUCCCGCUUCUCUCUCCAAGUUAUUGAAGUCAUGGGCCUACUGCCAAGCAAUAAAACCAAAAACCUUAAAAAAUGAUCACUCUUGAUCUCACACUUGCAUAUGGAAUCUAAAAAGCUUGAACUCAUAGAAGCAGGGGGUAGAGUGGUGGUUACCAGGGUUCAUGGGGAGGAUGUUGGUCAGACGGCGCAGUUUCAUUAGGAAGAGAAAGUACUGGAAAAUCUACAGCAUAAUAUGGCAAAUAUGUCUAGUAAUAGCGUAAUGUAUACUUAAAAUUGCUAGGACACAAGAUCUGAAACAUUCUCACCACAAAAUGAGUGUGUAAGGUGAUGGUCAUGUUGGCUCGAUUUAUUUAUGUCACAAUGUAUGGAUGUCAAAAUAUCACGUUGUACACGGCAAAUAUCUCGUGUUUUCAUUUGUCAAGAGUCAAUCUGUAAAUAAAGAACUUCUCAGGAGAAAAAAAAAGAUCUAGCUCCUAGCUCCCAUCAUCCUGGUCUUAAAUCAAUUACCUUCUUCUCCACAUGUGACAUGUAACAUGCCCGCCCCCCCAACCUGGUAUUCUUGUUCUCGAGUGUAGACUCACCUUGUGUUUCCUCAGUAGAGUUUCUGUUCCCACCUCGAGUCUGGUUCAGCCUCUCCCUGCGCCCUGCCCUGGACAGCAGCAUCAGCUAAACCUUUUCGUUGUCUUUUCCGUAGGCAGGGCGCUGCCGUCCCCACCACUAGGGGGCAGUGCUUCGGGAAGCCGGUUGGACACCUGGCUUGGUGGGCAGAGGAGGGCGCCGGCUGGGCGUUCAGUGGGGGUUCUGUGCACCCCGUGCGGACUUCCGAGGCCACAGCCGAUUUCUCGAAGGAACCUCCUGAGUCUUGAGAAAAUGGUCAGUGACGCCCACUGCGCUCAGUUCAAGAAGGUGGCGGAGAAUGCUGCGCACCUUUUUGGUGUUCAUCUUGGGGCUGGCGAUUGGCACAACAGCCAUUAUGCCGGCAUCCCAUACUGGAGCGCCUGGGUGGGAGCCCUGGCUUCCCUCCGGAGUCCACCGCCCUGCUAAUGUGCACCAUGAGGGGCAGCAGGAGAUGGCCUCAGGUACUUGGGGCUCUGUCACCCAUGCAGGAGACCCCAGAUGACCUUACAGACUUGUGGCCUGCUGUAGGCAUUUGGGGGAGUGAACCCACAGGUGUAAGAUCAGUCUCACACUCCUGUGUCUGCCUUUCAGCCUGUCAAAUAAAGGAAUUGAUAGUAAUGGAUGACACCUGCUUCCACCAGCAGCCAGGCACCAAUCUGAAUUCCCCACCUGGCUUCCUUUGAUCCUCACCGUAUCCUACACAGCAGGAAUUGUGCGUAUCAUUUUACAGGACAGGAAAGUGCGGGCGGUGAAGUGAAGUCAGGUGCUCACCUGCCUCACUGUGAGUGUGUGAGCGAAUCACACUGGAAGCAGGGCCAGCUGCUAGUGGAAUGCUUUGACUUCCAUCUUCCACUUGCAAAACCUAACAAAAGUUCUAGUGGUUCAUGGGUUACACUGUCAGCUGUCUGUGUGCACUGGCCAAGUCUGACAAUGGAGACAAUAUUGUAAUUUUUUUUUGACAGGCAGAGUGGACAGAGAGAGAGAAAGGUCUUCCUUUUGCCGUUGGUUCACCCUCCAAUGGCCGCCGUGGCUGGUGUGCUGCGGCCAGCGCAUCACGCUGAUCUGAAGGCAGGAGCCAGGUGCUUCUCCUGAUCUCCCAUGCAGAUGCAGGGCCCAAGCACUUGGGCCAUCCUCCACUGCACUCCCGGGCCACAGCAGAGAAGAGGGGCAACCAGGACAGAAUCCAGCACCCCAACCGGGACUAGAACCUGGUGUGCUGGCGCCAGAGGCGCAGGAUUAACCUAUUGAGCCACAGCGCCGGCCAAUAUUGUGUUUUAAACCUGGCUGAUUGAGAGGCAGUGUUCCAAUGUAACAGGAUAAACAGGACAGUAAAAAAGUCUUUCCCAGAGUGAUGAUCUCUGAAUGGUAGAAUUGAUAUGGGAUAAGUAUGCAAGGAGUUAGUUUGGGCCUGGUCACAAGGAUGUAUAAUUCAAUCAUCCUGAAAGAAUAAAUGAAAAUUCAUUGGGUUUUACUUUUAAGAAAUCUUUAGUAGGGAAGCCACCCCAUGGUGUGUUGUGGAGGCCAUCCAGUGUUUACACCCCUUCCGGGAUCUAGUUUGUCUUUUAUCAGCCCCUGGCUUCUCUGCGGCCUCAGAUGGCCACUUCCUGCCCGAAUUCUCAGAACCUGCAGGUCCCACUAUUGAGAGUGAUGAAGUCUCAUGUGAUCCAGAGGGAGGCCUGUGUCACUCUGUGAGGUUCUCAGUGUUUGCUUCUAAUGCCAUCAUUUUAUAUAUAUAUAUAUUUUUUUUUUCAGGCAGAGUGGACAGUGAGAGAGACAGACAGAGAGAAAGGUCUUCCUUUUCUGUUGGUUCACCCCCCAAUGGCCGCUGCCACCAGCAUGCUGCGCCUGGCGCACCGCACUGAUCUGAAGCCAGGAGCCAGGUGCUUCUGGUCUCCCAUGCGGGUGCAGGGCCCAAGGACUUGGGCCAUCCUCCACUGCACUCCCUGGCCACAGCAGAGAGCUGGACUGGAAGAGGAGCAACCGGGACAGAAUCUGGCGCCCUGACUGGGACUAGAACCACAGGCAGCAAUUAGCCUAUUGAGCUGUGGUGCUGGCCCAUCAUUUAUUUUAAGAUUUAUUUUAUUUGAAAGAGUUACAGAAAGAGGUAGUGGCAAAGAGAGGUCUUCCAUCUGCUGGUUCACUCCCCAAAUGGCUGCAGCAGCUGGAGCUGGGUUAAUCUGAAGCCAGGAGCCAGGAGCUUCUUCCAGGUCUCCCACAUGGGUGCAGGGGCCCAAGGACCUGGCCAUCCUCUCCUGCUUUCCCAGGCACAUUAGUGGGGAGCUGGAUUGGAAGUGGAGCCGCUGAGACUUGAACCAGCAGCCUUAUGGGAUGCUGCUGCUGCAGGCUGGGGCUUUAACCCACUGCACCAUGGCAUCGGCCCCUCUAGUGCCAUCGUUUUAAGGACACACUCAUCUAAAAGUGUGCUGUGCAAGCCGUGGAGACGCACUGCACUCAGGAUUUCCACCUCAGCAGGGCCAGUCUGAGAUCAGCAGGUAACUCCUGGGUUGCCCCACGCAAAAGUCACCAUGAUAGAAGGGGAAUUUUCUCCUGCUCAAUCUAUAGGUAAAAUUUUUGCAGGAUACGCUGAAUCUGUUAAAGUUUGCCCCAUUUCAAGAAUGCAUGGGGAUCACAAACAACUGCAAAGUAUCUGAUUCUUGUCUUUUUAUGAUUUGUUUGAGGGAGCUGGAGUUAAUAUAAGACACACAAAGACAAAUGGGGGCGGGGGUCAAGACCAGAUGGAAGUCCCCAAGUGGGUGACCCCUGCUUUGAUGGAACUGUGCUGUCUGAUGGCACCACCCAAAGACUUCUGGGAAACGGGAGUGUGCUCCCUGGCAGUGUGCAUGGGAAAGAGCUCUGCAGUUAGUAACAUAACCAGUCUAUUUGUCAAGUCCCCUGCUUUGUACCUGUGGCUAAGAACACAUCCCUUGAAUGGAUGCAUUUAGGGUUUCUAUCCAACCAGUAAUCAGGGAUUGGAGAAGGUUCUGGAUGCUAUUUUUGAACACAGAAUAAUAAGCAGUCAUUUAUGAUGCUGAGGAGUAUAUUUAUUGAUAGGAUGAAAGAUAGUCCCAUUAUCGUUAAGUUUUCAUAUGUAGGAUCUGCACCGGUGUAAGCCCAUUUGCCACACAUAUAUUUAGAUAAAUGCAUGGGCGGGGUGGAGAGGCUGAAAGGCCUCUGCCACAGUGGUGAUCUCUGGUAGAAUCCAUGUGGAAUAAAUUCGCGGGGAGUUAGUUUGGGCCGGCUGGAAUUCUUACAAUAGCAGCUAUCUCUUUAACUGUCGAUUUGAUACGCCCACUUUCCCAGGACGCACCUGUCACAUCUGGGCCCAAGGUGCAUGCUAAGACCCCCACCCCGUUCCUUAUAAAUAGGGGUGACAGCGGGAAGGCACGCCUUUUCCGCCGCGGACCUGCCUGGGAGCCCCGUCUCCUUUUCGCUUUGUUCCUGCCGUGGACCUCACUUACAGCUACUGCUCCGGUUUUUGCUCCAUCCACUGUGGAAAGACUUGCUCUCGCGUGUACCUCUCCCGCCUCUCGGACGGACCUUCCCAAUUUCAGGUACGAUUUUUGGUUUCUCUUUCCUCUCUAGUUUAUGGCAAUUCCUUGGCCCACUCAUGGUGGGUAUCUGUCACGGUGGAGCAGCCUACCCGUGUGUGCGAGUGUGUAUUCUCUCACUGCCAAGAAAAUACUGUGCCUCUGGGCACACAGUACCAGCCUCUGGUUAGUGUUUGUGUUUCUGCGGGAGGCAAGGACCUAGGUUCAAAUUGGAUAUAGUCCUUGCAGACAUCGUAAUGGCAAGCCAGUAGCCAGAAGUGCGUCACCCCCAGACGGCAGUGGGUUGCCCCUUGGUGCAGUCUUCCAUCUUUAAGAGAAGCCCUGUGGUGGAAACCAGUUUGCAGUGUAAAGAGUUUCUUCUCGUUUCUGUGUUCGGAGUUUUGGUUGUUUUGAAUCGUGAGCGUGCGUACAUCUGUUGUCGCGGUAGCUGUCUGUCGUUUAUGCGCCUUCAGCAGCAGGGUGCUUCCGGGGCUGUCGAGCGAGGCCGACACAUUGGUUCUUGGCUUUGGGCCGUAGCUACUCGGUUACACGCGGCUGACCCCGCUUCAUCCUCCUCAUUGUCGUCUUUUCACCUGUGGCUCCUUCAUUCCUCCCCUCUGCUUAAUGGAAGCGGAGGAGCAAAGGGCCACUUCUGCUGUCCAGCAGCUACAUCCGGUUGCAAGGGGAGGGAUUUCCUGCCGUGUUAGACGUUUGGCUGCAGAGGAGGUGGGACUUCCUGCCGUAGCAGAAGUAGGGUUUGCCCUUGCAGCUCAGAACAGUAGGCCAAGGUCUGCGUUUGGGCAGCAGCCAGCCUACUCACAGUUGGGGCUUGAUAGCUGCAGCGCCCUCCCUGCUCUGGUACAUCUAGUAGCUGUGAGGAAGGAGGCUUUUGGUUCCUGGCAUACAAAUGUAGCUUCCGCUAACCAGACGGAACCUAGCAUUCCAUACACUGUCAAGUGUUCCCUCACUGCGGUGCUCAGCUUUAAGAAAUGCAAACGCUGGUAUUUCUCAGCUCCAACAUCUGAAGAUGCUUGGCUGCUAGUACCACCCUGGAGCAUAGGGGUUCAAUGCCUCCUAGAGGUUGAAGAAUCUGGUGGCAGCAUUGAUGGCUCCCACAGCAUUGGAGGCCCUGGGAAGAGGCCCCUAUCAUAGACCAUCUUCCCAGGAGACUUGGUUUUGUUAAAGACUUGGAGAGCAGGCUCCUCUUCUGACCUGUUACAGCCUAAGUGGAAGGGACCUUAACGUGCUUCUGAGCACUCCCACUGCAAUUCAAUUACAAGUUUUCCAAGCUGGGCACCUGUGUCAAGACUUUAGCUGUUACCUCUUGAGUCUUCACAGGUUCAAGCAGAGGAUAAGGCUGCCUACUUUAAUGAGCCAACUGAAGACCUCAGGUACCUCUUCAAAAUCAAAAAGUUGUGGAAACCUGGACAAGUAUUUCACCUCCGUCUACCUCCGUUUCUUCACCUGCGAAAUGGGAGUGAGGCUUAAUACGCGCAAAGUCCAGCUCAGCUCAGCUCAGCUCAGCAUCACCGAGGGAGGAAGCAGGAAGGGAGGCCACUGUCUGCAAAGGCCCCUACACCGCCCACCUGGGAAACCUGUCCUCCUCCUCACUCUCACAGAAAUUAAGCAGCAGCUCUGGGGCCGGGCGUCUGGGCUGUCACAUUCACUUUCCGAACUGAGCCUCUAGCAGAGGUAGACCAUGGGGCUUGCUCUCACCUGGAAAGGAAUCAGCGCUUUGGAAUUGAGGCCCAGUUACCUUCACCUGCGCACAAGCAGACUCCCUGGUGCUGGGGAAGUGGGCUCUGACUCCGCAGAAGAACACAUCGUGCCAGAAGCAGAACACAGAAUCAAACCGUCGGAACGCGCACAUCCGUCUGUCCCGGACGUGUGGGCCGUGUGAACUGAAGAACAGAGGAGAAGGAAGAAGGAACACACAGCAGGAGGCGGACAGUGGAGUUUAUCUUCUGCCUUGGAGCGAAGCCGAAGUGUGCAGGUGGGAAGCAUCAGGAUGCCUGCAGCGUGCCUCAGAUACUCCCCAAGAAAGAGAAUAAUCAAGGUACCAAGGUUGCAAGCUCCCAGUGCCCAAGGAGCAGCUGGUACAAGAGUGGCUGCCUGCAGGGUGUUGAGGUCUCCGAGCCCGCAGUGAAGUUAGAAAGCUGAGAGUAUAAAGAUGCGGUAGACGAACCUAGCAGAAGACCACCGAGACCGCAGUGCUGUGGCCUUGUCCUGGGGUCCUCCUGCCCCUGGGGUCUGCCCCCCAGCCUUCCCCAUCAGGGGCUUCCCUACUGCACUCAGAAAUGAUGCGAUGCGUCGGGAUGAGUCACACGGACUUCACCUGCAACUGGAGCACACGUGAAGCGCCAUGUCUGUGUCCUACCGUUUCCUCAUGGAGCUCUGGUCUCCCCCAAGCCCAUGGAACCCACUCCCGGCAUCAGAGCAUCCAGAAACUCGGAGACACCGAUGAUAGCGUUUGCUUGCUGUUGGGGGCUUCUCUAACGUUUUUCCUACAAUGUUAAAAAUGUCCAUGGGAUGUCUGAUCCUGGAAGAAAUCAUGGGAACGCGCACACACAAGCAGGAAAUGCCCUUCUGUGGCUCCAGCACCGUAGCAGAGGGAGAGAACGCUCCGCGCCGGCAGCUCCGCAUCCACUCGGCCUCCUCCCCGGAGCCGGGCACAUCCGUGUUCUGCUCUGGGGAUGGUCUCCCAGGCCAUGGAACAUCAUUCCUGGGGGGCUGCCUGCCCACAUAUCUGCCUGCUCACCUGGAUGCCACGGGUGAUUUCAGUGUCCAGCCCAGGGAGCGUCCAGGACCGGAAACCCUGUGUUUCUUUCAUCCUGGGAGGGGAACCGUGGUGGGCUCUCUGAGUUCCCAUCACCCAGACCUCGGGACCAGCUCUGGAUCCUGGGUCUGCCGGAAGCCGGCGCUUCAGCUUUACUCUGAAUUCCGUGGCUGCAAGUUGGUUGCCCUGGUGUUCCCCACCCCGUGUGCAUGUGCUUUGCAAAAGUGGAGUCCCUUGAUCAAGGGCUGGAGACUGCUUCCCCUGCCCUGGUCCCUGGGGUCCUCGUGACGCCUUGGCCCACAGAACGCAGGGGAAGGGGUCGGCUGCCAGCUCGGAGCCUUGGCUCCAGGAUUCCUCCUGUGCUUCCACUCUCUCUCGGAAUCUUAACCCCCGGGCAGGCCGAGAGCGACUUGGGCUGCGGCAAGAUGAGAAGCAUCUAGCACCCAGGGGCUAGGGCCGCCUGCUGGACCCACAGCUGCCCUCAGAUACGUGGGGAAGCCCAGCCCACAUUACAGAGUAAACUGAACUGACAGGUCUAAGCCGCUAAGAUUGUGGCGGCCUGCUGUGCAGCAAUCACUAACUGAUGCUUGUAUGAACUUCCGCCUUCGCUCAGUAAGUUCCUUUUUUGGAGAAUUUCGUGAGCACCAACGAAGAACUCUCGUCCACACCUGGGAACCCAUCUCCGUGCUUCUGGCAGCACGCGCUCAGGCCGCGCGUCGGCUUUGGGAAUCCACUCUGCCUCACUUUGCAAGUCAUUUUGAGCAUCGUCCUCUAAGAAUAAGCUGUACAGGGUGAAGAAGGAAAGCCUCCCCUCUGCUGCGUUGGAGCCUCUGCCCCGGUCAGGUUUCCCGGUGACGCAGCCGUUGGCCAGCACGGUCCACUCAGCAGGAAGUGCCUUUAACCCGCUUCUCCGUGAGAUUAUUGCACAGAGCCAUGAUUAUUCCCCGCCUGGUGACCAAGAAAAGGACAGAGUCCUGCCUCAGGGGUGUUACUGUUUGCUUCUUUGGAGAGAGAGGAAAAAAUCAUUUUAUUUGGAAUGUUCCAUUCUUUUCAAAUUAAAACAUUCAUUUUGAUGCAAAGAAUCUUACAAAACAAGCAUGCAGAUAAGGCAUAGUAUGAAGAAACUGUGGAGGAAUUUCAAAAUGUUUUUGCACAAAAAUAAACUUAUCUUUUAAGUUAAUUUUUCCAUGAGCAUUUUGAAGUGUCUCAUAUAAGACUUGUGCAUGAAGAAGACAAAAAAGAGGUAAUUAUCUCCCAUAAUCUCAUUUUCUGCAUCUUUUUGCACCAAAAUAAAGCCAGCUCUUAAUUCCACCCCUGCAAACUCUCAGAAGCACUCCCAUGUUUUAGGAUUCAGGGUAGGCUCGGCCCCACAGUCUGUGGUCCCCAUUCCUUUGAAAAGUCCAUCACUGGGGCCAGCAUCACGCAUAGUGGGUGAAGCCACUGCCUGCAGUGCCAGCAUCCCACAUAGUUUCUGGUUCAAGUCCUGGCUACUACACUUAUGACCCAGCUCCCUGGUAAUGGCCUGGGAAAGCAGUGGAAGAUGGCCCAAGUGCUUGGGCCCCUGCACCCACGUUGGAGACUCAAAAGAAGGUCCUAGAUUCAGCCUGACCCGGCCCUGACCAAUGCAACCAUUUGGGACGUGAACCAGAAGAUGGAAAUGGAAGUGUGUUCUCUGCUCUGUCUCUGUCUCUGUCUCUCCCUCUCCCUCUCCCUCUCUGUAACUGCCUUUCAAAAAAGAAAAGACCAUCAUUAUUAUUCUCCAUGUCAGUUUUCACUUCUAUCUUAAAAAUAAACAAAGAGAAAGGUUGAGUUGAUAGUUUUUAUUAAUAACAUUGAGAUUUCUUUUGUUUUUUCUUUGGUGAAGUUGAUUACUUUUUUCUGGAUUGUUUAUCAUUUAAAAAAAAUUUUUUUUGGACAGGCAGAGUUAGACAGUGAGGGAGAGAGACAGAGAGAAAGGUCUUCCUUCCGUUGGUUCACCCCCCAAAUGGCCGCUACGGCCGGCGCACUGUGCCGAUCUGAAGUCAGGAGCCAGGUGCUUCCUCCUGGUCUCCCAUGCGGGUGCAGGGCCCAAGCACUUGGGCCAUCCUCCACUGCCUUCCUGGGCCACAGCAGAGAGCUGGACUGGAAGAGGAGCAACUGGGACAGAACUGGCGCCCCAACCGGGAUUAGAACCUGGGGUGCCGGCGCCGCAGGCGAAGGAUUAGCCUGGUGAGCCGCGGCGCGGGC